rnacentral:sRNA from 1 species
GAUCUUACUCCAGACCAUAUCAUAAGCUCCUGAUAAUUCUGAGGGUAAACGUUUGCCUUCCAUCACCCUGCAUCCCAAAUAAAGGGAGUAGACUACGCCGGGAAAAAGACACUGGACGUCAGGAGGGGAGUCAAUGGCCGGUACGCUAUAAAUUUAGCGUCGAAUUUUGUCUGAUCUUGAACAAAAGGGGAAGAGCUAAAACGUAUCCCGGCCUAAUUCCUGCAAGAUUUUUACGUUUAUUUAUGCAAAAAUGCGCUAUCUCACUUUUUGUGGGGAAAUUAACAAGGAGAAAAAUUGAUGAGCACCGACCUGAAAUUUUCUUUAGUAACCACGCUUAUUGUUCUGGGUUUGAUUGUUGCCGGUGGUUUAACGGCUGCGCUGCACUGAU